GCAUAUCAGGGCUAUAAAUUGACUCACGAUCCGCUCGGAUUUCACUUCAUGCUUCGGUCUUGUUUAGCAGUAGAAAAGUUUUCGGAUUAGUUACGUAUUUAUUUCUCUCUUUUGUCGGUGGGAGACUACACGGCAGCCCAAGCAAGUGAGCGAAGAUGGUGGAUUUCGGCUGAUCCACUAUGAAGUGCAGGACUCCAAACAGCAACGCACCAUAAAGCAGUUACCCAUCUUUGUAUUGGUGCUGGACGGCAACAACGCUGUAAACAGUCCGUGUAUUGUCAAAGUGCUUACAGUGCAGGUAGUACUAUGUAAUUCCUACUGCAGUGGAGGCACUUACAGCAAUAUCCAGACACUGUUGUGCAGGUUCUGUACUCUUACAUGUCAUAUUGAAGUACUGUCUUUGUGCUAAGGUGCAUCUAGUGCAGAUAGUGAAAUAGACUAGCACCUACUGCCCUAAGUGCUCCUUCUGGCAUAAGGGGCUGUGAUAUGCGCCACCAGACCAUUCUCUAAUUUCUAAUUGGGCUCAAAUAUCUCGCAGUUCUCUGCUAGUUUUGCAUAGUUGCACUACAAGAAUAGAUGAGUUGUGCAAAUCUAUGCAAAACUGAUGGUGGCCUGCUUGCUCUCCUCCUGUUUUGUUCAGAUUUUUGGUUUUGGGGGUGACACAUCAAACUCAAUUUGCUUGAAUUACACACCUGUAAUACUGUUGUAAAAAAAACAGGAUAAUUUCUGAGGUCAAGCCCAGCGACACAGUUUCAGCAGUACUAAAGUGCUUAUAGUGCAGGUAGUGUUUUCCUAUCUACUGCAAUAUAAGCACUUGAAGUACUUCUAACUGCCUCCUGCUAAAGGUCACAAGUUUAAAAAUUCUGACUCGUCGAUUUAUCAUUGUCACUUGGUCAGUUUUGCUGGUUUGCAUUCAGCUUUAACUGAUGUUUGCUGUGCAAAUCCAUGCAAAACUGAUUAGGUUGAUGAACUGUGUUUCAACAAGUGGAAUACCUUGACACCGAUAUUUUUUUUUUACCUCAUGAUCUCUGGGGAGGUCCUGUCCUGUGCAGGUGGGGAUUAGUAGCAAUGCUGUGUUUCUAGAGGUAUUGCACUUGUCCCGGCCUGUGUGGGACCAAGGAGAUGGCACUGACCUAAGAAAAAAGCUGUGAUUUUCUAUACUUUGAUCAGAUUGUAAAUAUUAUGAUGCUUUUGAUUUCUGGUAUUAAGCUUAAACUGCUUUAUUGUAAUGCUAUUCAACAUAUAUCAUUUUUUGAAUUUUUGUGAGUGUUUGUUUUGUAACUUGCAAUUUGGAAACUUUAAUAAAUCUUUUUCAUGCUUGAUGUUUUCUUCA